GAUACUUUAGAUUUGGUGAUCAAGAUUCAAAUUUACCUUGUAUGGUUGGAGAUAGAGAUUUUGUUGUCUUUGGUGGAUUACCAUUACCAACAAGAUUAGGAAGAAAAAAAGGAACUUUAAAGUUGUGAAUGUUUUCUUUGAUUUUUUUUAGUCUAUUUGUUUGAGAAUAUAUGGAGCAAGAAGAUUCAGACUCAUUUUCCCAUAUGCCAUUGUUGGAUUUUCGGCUUACGAUGGAUUCGAAGGUUUUAUAGGAGCAUAGUUCACAUGAUUUUUGCACAUAUAUUAGUUAGCUUAUUAUUUUGAUUUCUUAUUGUGUACAUAGUAUGAAUUGAUGAAUGUUUUUACAUUUUAAGUUGUAUUGUUUGGAUGGAACGAAUACUAGUUUUAAAUUUGAAA